rnacentral:rRNA from 1 species
UAAUACGGGGGGAGCAAGCGUUGUUCGGAUUUACUGGGCGUAAAGGGCGCGUAGGCGGUCAGCACAAGUCAGUUGUGAAAUCUCCGAGCUUAACUCGGAAAGGUCAACUGAUACUGUGCGACUAGAGUGCAGAAGGGGCAACUGGAAUUCUCGGUGUAGCGGUGAAAUGCGUAGAUAUCGAGAGGAACACCUGCGGCGAAGGCGGGUUGCUGGGCUGACACUGACGCUGAGGCGCGAAAGCUAGGGGAGCGAACGGGAUUAGAUACCCCGGUAGUCCUAGCCUUAAACGAUGAAUGCUUGGUGUGGCGGGUAUCGAUCCCUGCCGUGCCGAAGCUAACGCAUUAAGCAUUCCGCCUGGGGAGUACGGUCGCAAGGCUG